rnacentral:rRNA from 1 species
CAGCAGCCGCGGUAAUACGAAGGGUGCAAGCGUUAUCCGGAUUCAUUGGGUUUAAAGGGUGCGUAGGCGGGAUGGCAAGUCAGCGGUGAAAGCCCGUAGCUUAACUACGGAAUUGCCGUUGAUACUGCCGUUCUUGAGUACGCUUGACGUGGGCGGAAUGUGCCGUGUAGCGGUGAAAUGCUUAGAUAUGGCACAGAACACCGAUAGUGAAGACAGCUCACGAAGGCGAAACUGACGCUGAGGCACGAAAGCGUGGGGAUCAAACAGGAUUAGAUACCCUGGUAGUCCACGCCGUAAACGAUGAUCACUCGUGAUUGGCGAUAUACGGUCAGUCACCUAGCGAAAGCGUUAAGUGAUCCACCUGGGGAGUACGUUCGCAAGAAUGAAACUCAAAGGAAUUGACGGGGGCCCGCACAAGCGGUGGAGCAUGUGGUUUAAUUCGAUGAUACGCGAGGAACCUUACCAGGGCUUGAACUUGUGUUGACAGGGGCGGAAACGUCCUCUUCUUCGGACAACAUGAGAGGUGGUGCAUGGCC